rnacentral:tRNA from 1 species
GCCGAAAUAGCUCAGAAGGGAGAGCGUCAGACUGAAGAUCUGAAGGUCACUGGUUCAAUCCCGGGUUUCUGCA